GAUGAACGCUGGCGGCGUGCCUAAUACAUGCAAGUCGAGCGAACAGAUGAGGAGCUUGCUCCUCUGACGUUAGCGGGGGACGGGUGAGUAACACGUGGAUAACCUACCUAUAAGACUGGGAUAACUUCGGGAAACCGGAGCUAAUACCGGAUAAUAUAUUGAACCGCAUGGUUCAAUAGUUAAAGACGGUUUUGCUGUUACGUAUAGAUGGAUCCGCGCCGCAUUAGCUAGUUGGUAAGGUAACGGCUUACCAAGGCAACGAUGCGGAGCCGACCUGAGAGGGUGAUCAGCCACACUGGAACUGAGACACGGUCCAGACUCCUACGGGAGGCAGCAGUAGGGAAUCUUCCGCGAUGGGCGAAAGCCUGACGGAGCAAAGCCGCGUGAGUGAUGAAGGUCUUCGGAUCGUAAAACUCUGUUAUUAGGGAAGAAAAAAUGUGUAAGUAACUCUGCACGUCUUGACGGUACCUAAUCAGAAAGCCACGGCUAACUACGUG
rnacentral:rRNA from 1 species